rnacentral:rRNA from 1 species
ACUCAAAUGAAUAGACGGGGACCCGCACAAGCAGUGGAGUAUGUGGUUUAAUUCGAAGCAACGCGAAGAACCUUACCAGGUCUUGACAUCCCAUUGAAAGGUGCAGAGAUGUACCCGGCUUCUUCGGAAGACAAUGGAGACAGGUGGUGCAUGGUUGUCGUCAGCUCGUGUCGUGAGAUGUUGGGUUAAGUCCCGCAACGAGCGCAACCCUUGAUCUCAGUUGCCAGCAUUGAGUUGGGCACUCUGGGAUGACUGCCGGUGACAAACCGGAGGAAGGCGGGGAUGACGUCAAAUCAUCAUGCCCCUUAUGACCUGGGCUACACACGUACUACAAUGGCCGGUACAACGGGCAGCGAAGGAGCGAUCCGGAGCGAAUCCUCAUAAACCGGUCUCAGUUCGGAUUGCAGGCUGCAACCCGCCUGCAUGAAGUCGGAAUUGCUAGUAAUCGCGGAUCAGCAUGCCGCGGUGAAUACGUUCCCGGGUCUUGUACACACCGCCCGU